rfam:Erinaceus europaeus unplaced genomic scaffold scaffold00699, whole genome shotgun sequence
UCAAAAGUUUUUUUAAAAACCAUACAACAUUCAAAUGCAAAAAUUUU